rnacentral:rRNA from 1 species
AGAGUUUGAUCAUGGCUCAGAGUGAACGCUGGCGGCAGGCCUAAUACAUGCAAGUCGAACGGCAGCACAGCAGAGCUUGCUCUGGUGGGUGGCGAGUGGCGGACGGGUGAGGAAUACGUGGGAAUCUGCCCAGUCGUGGGGGAUAACGUAGGGAAACUUACGCUAAUACCGCAUGCGCCCUUCGGGGGAAGCCGGGGACCUUCGGGCCUGGCGCGAUUGGAUGAGCCCACGUCGGAUUAGCUAGUUGGCGGGGUAAAGGCCCACCAAGGCGACGAUCCGUAGCUGGUCUGAGAGGAUGAUCAGCCACACUGGAACUGAGACACGGUCCAGACUCCUACGGGAGGCAGCAGUAGGGAAUAUUGGACAAUGGGCGCAAGCCUGAUCCAGCCAUGCCGCGUGAGUGAAGAAGGCCCUCGGGUUGUAAAGCUCUUUUGUCCGGAAAGAAAAGCGCCGGGUUAAUACCCUGGUGUCCUGACGGUACCGGAAGAAUAAGCACCGGCUAACUUCGUG